UAGAUCGGUUUGUAAAUUCUAGUGCCUGU
rnacentral:sRNA from 1 species